UCCACCAGUCACCACCUUCUUCUUUCGCCCCUGGCAGCACAUUCCCCAGAUGGAACCAGCUAAGUGGAAACUCAUGUAUCUCCUCAGCUGGAAAUGGAGAUAGUAAGAUCUUGUGAGGGCUUCCUGGAGGCCUGGAUUUGGCCAGAUAACAUGCUUUUCUGAAGUUGAGCAAUGCUCUCUAGAAUGACUGACUGGGUCAGGCCAGGCAUGUGCACAGUGGAGGAGACCAUUGGACCACGGAGGUGACCAGCAGUAGCAGCAGCCAGCACACCAUUUACCCAACAGGAAAAUCUGGAAGAGCCAUACUCAGCAGCCCAGCACUUCCUGGAUCAACCUUAGCUCCACUCAGAAAGCUGAGCUUCUCCAUCAGCCUUGACAGCUAAUUAAUUCCACCUGGAGGAAGGAACUAGGCAUUGAGCAAGGAAGAGUCCUUAUUCCACGUUUGGGAAAGAAUUGACAGAAGCUCUCUUGUGUAGAUCUGAGGAAUGGCAAAGGAUCAACCAAGUCCACUGGUUUUGAAGGAUCUCAAAGAUCGCUGAGUCUGACCUCAUUGUUUUACUGGCAACUA